rnacentral:rRNA from 1 species
AUUGAACGCUGGCGGCAGGCCUAACACAUGCAAGUCGAACGGCUGGCGGACGCGUGAGUAAUGUCUAGGUAUCUGACUGAGGGGGGGGGAUAAUUACUGCAAACGGUAGCUAAUACUGAAUACCAUCAGAUGUAGCCAGAUGGGAUUAGCUAGUUGGUGGAGGAACGGCUCAACAAGGCGACGAUCCCUAGCUGGUCUGAGAGGAUGACCAGCCACACUGGAACUGAGACACGGUCCAGACUCCUACGUGAGGCAGCAGGGGGGAGUAUUGCACAAUGGGCGCAAGGAUGAUGCAGCCAUGCCGCGUGUAUUAAGAAGGCCUUCGGGUUGUAAAGUACUUUCAGCGGGGAGGCGUUACCCGCAUAAGAAGCACCGGCUAACUCCGUGCCAGCAGCCGCGGUAAUAC